GGCUGUUGCCAGUGGUCAAAGCCUCCAACAAAGCUCUACUGAGUGGUUGUAACCUGUCAGACAGAAGCUGUGAAGCUCUGUCCUCAGUCCUGAGCUCCCAGUCCUCCCAUCUGAGAGAGCUGGACCUGGGUAACAACAACCUGCAGGAUUCAGGACUGAAGCUUCUGUCUGCUGGGAUAAAGAGUCAAUACUGCAAACUGGAAACGCUGAGACUGAGUGGCUGUAACCUGUCAGACAGAAGCUGUGAAGCU